rnacentral:lncRNA from 1 species
AUUUUUCUAUAAAUGAACUUUAUCUUAUACCUAAUAGAAAAAUAAAAUAAAAUAAUGGGGUCACCGUUCAUUUACGCUUACAAUCUGCCUUCGAAAGAAGCUUACAUUUUUGUUAACGUCCCUUUUUUCUGUUGAACUAAUCUAUAGCAGAAAUAGCGGUAAUAUCGAAAUAAAAAAUAACUAAUACAUUUUAAAAGUCACCUGGGGCCAAC